GGGAAGACAAAGUUGUCCACUGACUGAGUUGAGCGAUUUUGCCAUAUUUCAGUAUGAAGAGUCUCCUCAGUAUACUCUAUGUGGUCUUCUCAGCACAUUAUGUGAACUCCCAGGUGUCACUAGUAGAGUCUGGUCCCAGCAUUGUGAAGCCAGCGCAGGCUCUGGAUGUAACAUGUACAGUAACAGGAGCCUCUCUCACUGACAGCAGCAAGCUUUACAGUGUGGAAUGGGCACGACAGUUCCCAGGAAAGGGCCUGGAGUGGAUGGGUCGCAUCAUCUAUAAUGGAGAUUUAUAUUAUGCUCAGUCAUUGAAGGGACGAAUUACCAUAACUAGAGAUACCAGUAAAGGAAAAGUUUAUUUAAAACUAAACAGUGUGAAUGCAGAUGAUUCUGGAAGAUAUCACUGUGCUAGAACCACACUGCUGCAGAACUGUGUACUACAACUACAAUAA